GACGAACGCUGGCGGCGUGCUUAACACAUGCAAGUCGAACGGAAAGGCCCUGCUUUUGUGGGGUGCUCGAGAGGCGAACGGGUGAGUAACAUGUGAGUCACCUGCCCUUGACUUUGGGAUCAGUUCAGGGAACUGGUGCCGAUACCGGAACGGCGCUCCUGCUGCACGGUGGGGGUAGGAUAGCUUCUGCGGUUGGGGAUGGACUCGCGGCUUAUCAGCUUGUUGGUGGGGUAGUGGCAUACCAAGGCGUUGACGGGUAGCCGGCCUGAGAGGGUGACCGGCCACAUUGGGACUGAGAUACGGCCCAGACUCCUACGGGAGGCAGCAGUGGGGAAUAUUGCACAAUGGGCGGAAGCCUGAUGCAGCAACGCCGCGUGCGGGAUGACGGCCUUCGGGUUGUAAACCGCUUUCGCCUGUGACGAAGCGUGAGUGACGGUACUGGGUAAAGAAGCACCGGCUAACUACGUG
rnacentral:rRNA from 1 species